GGCUGGUCUGAAGGUAGUGAGUUAUGUCACCUGAGUGUUCAGUCACGGAUUGAACUUCUUGUUCUACUACUUCCCCCUCCUCACGACUGCACUUAACUAAUCUAAA
rnacentral:Y_RNA from 1 species